GGUCGUGACUGCGUGCCUUUUGAAGAAUGAGCCUGCGAGUUAGCGGUGUGUAGCGAGGUUAACCCGUGUGGGGAAGCCGUAGCGAAAGCGAGUCCGAAUAGGGCGAUUGAGUUGCACGCUCUAGACCCGAAGCGGAGUGAUCUAGCCAUGGGCAGGUUGAAGCGGAGGUAAGACUUCGUGGAGGACCGAACCCACCAGGGUUGAAAACCUGGGGGAUGACCUGUGGUUAGGGGUGAAAGGCCAAUCAAACUCCGUGAUAGCUGGUUCUCCCCGAAAUGCAUUUAGGUGCAGCGUCGUGUGUUUCUUGCCGGAGGUAGAGCACUGGAUAGGCGAUGGGCCCUACCGGGUUACUGACCUUAGCCAAACUCCGAAUGCCGGUAAGUGAGAGCACGGCAGUGAGACUGUGGGGGAUAAGCUCCAUGGUCGAGAGGGAAACAGCCCAGAGCAUCGACUAAGGCCCCUAAGCGUACGCUAAGUGGGAAAGGAUGUGGAGUCGCAGAGACAACCAGGAGGUUGGCUUAGAAGCAGCCACCCUUGAAAGAGUGCGUAAUAGCUCACUGGUCAAGUGAUUCCGCGCCGACAAUGUAGCGGGGCUCAAGCGUACCGCCGAAGUCGUGUCAUUGCAGCAAUAGGGCCAACGCCCGCUGUGAUGGGUAGGGGAGCGUCGUGUGCCGGGUGAAGCAGCAGCGGAAGCUAGUUGUGGACGGUUCACGAGUGAGAAUGCAGGCAUGAGUAGCGAUACACACGUGAGAAACGUGUGCGCCGAUUGACUAAGGGUUCCUGGGUCAAGCUGAUCUGCCCAGGGUAAGUCGGGACCUAAGGCGAGGCCGACAGGCGUAGUCGAUGGACAACCGGUUGAUAUUCCGGUACCCGCUUUGAAACGCCCAAUAUCGAAUCAGGCGAUGCUAAGUCCGUGAAGCCGUUCCGGACCCUUCGGGGAAAGGAAAGUGGUGGAGCCGACGAACCAGACUUGUAGUAGGUAAGCGAUGGGGUGACGCAGGAAGGUAGUCCAACCCGGGCGGUGGUAGUCCCGGGGUAAGGGUGUAGGCCGAGGGGUAGGCAAAUCCGUCCCUCAUUAAGGCUGAGACCUGAUGCCGAGCCGAUUGUGGUGAAGUGGAUGAUCCUAUGCUGUCGAGAAAAGCCUCUAGCGAGUUUCAUGGCGGCCCGUACCCUAAACCGACUCAGGUGGUCAGGUAGAGAAUACCGAGGCGUUCGGGUGAACUAUGGUUAAGGAACUCGGCAAAAUGCCCCCGUAACUUCGGGAGAAGGGGGGCCAUCACUGGUGAUCGGAUUUACUCCGUGAGCUGGGGGUGGCCGCAGAGACCAGCGAGAAGCGACUGUUUACUAAAAACACAGGUCCGUGCGAAGCCGUAAGGCGAUGUAUACGGACUGACGCCUGCCCGGUGCUGGAACGUUAAGGGGACCGGUUAGUGACCUUUCGGGGUUGCGAAGCUGAGAACUUAAGCGCCAGUAAACGGCGGUGGUAACUAUAACCAUCCUAAGGUAGCGAAAUUCCUUGUCGGGUAAGUUCCGACCUGCACGAAUGGCGUAACGACUUCUCGACUGUCUCAACCAUAGGCCCGGUGAAAUUGCACUACGAGUAAAGAUGCUCGUUUCGCGCAGCAGGACGGAAAGACCCCGGGACCUUUACUACAGUUUGAUAUUGGUGUUCGGUUCGGCUUGUGUAGGAUAGGUGGGAGACUUUGAAGCAGCCACGCCAGUGGUUGUGGAGUCGCCGUUGAAAUACCACUCUGGUCGUGCUGGAUGUCUAACCUCGGUCCGUGAUCCGGAUCAGGGACAGUGUCUGAUGGGUAGUUUAACUGGGGCGGUUGCCUCCCAAAGGGUAACGGAGGCGCCCAAAGGUUCCCUCAGCCUGGUUGGCAAUCAGGUGUUGAGUGUAAGUGCACAAGGGAGCUUGACUGUGAGACCGACGGGUCGAGCAGGGACGAAAGUCGGGACUAGUGAUCCGGCGGUGGCUUGUGGAAGCGCCGUCGCUCAACGGAUAAAAGGUACCCCGGGGAUAACAGGCUGAUCUUCCCCAAGAGUCCAUAUCGACGGGAUGGUUUGGCACCUCGAUGUCGGCUCGUCGCAUCCUGGGGCUGGAGUCGGUCCCAAGGGUUGGGCUGUUCGCCCAUUAAAGCGGUACGCGAGCUGGGUUUAGAACGUCGUGAGACAGUUCGGUCCCUAUCCGCUGUGCGCGUAGGAAUAUUGAGAAGGGCUGUCCCUAGUACGAGAGGACCGGGACGGACGAACCUCUGGUGUGCCAGUUGUCCUGCCAAGGGCAUGGCUGGUUGGCUACGUUCGGGAGGGAUAACCGCUGAAAGCAUCUAAGCGGGAAGCCUGCUUCAAGAUGAGUAUUCCCACCUCCUUGA
rnacentral:rRNA from 1 species